GGGCCUGUAGCUUAGUGGUAAAGCAGCGGCCUUUUAAGCCGUUGACCCGAGUUCGAUUCUCGGUAGGCCUACCA
rnacentral:tRNA from 3 species